UCAGUUUCCCCAAAUGAGAUGGACUCCUGGUGACUGACAGAGAUGCCCAAAUUAAGAGGACAGGAACCCAGCAGCUGUGGGGAAUGAGAGAAGGGCAGUCACGUGCCCUUUGCUCCCAGAUAAGGCAGCUCCCAGCAAACACCCCGCGUGUGCCUCUGGGCUAAGAUGGACCUACUGCCGGAGCUGGGACCCAUUGCUGGAAACUCCUUCCACCAGCUGCGCCAGCUGCCCAAAAGGGACACCCAACAGAGUGACCUCUGGUUUCCAGCUUAGAAACUACCCAACUGAGACUCGGUUAUUUUUAACCAACCAGGACUGAACACAUUUAAAUACUUCAUGUGCAUGUAUAGACCUGGGGAGGUGGUUCUGGAUUAUCUGGAGCGGGGAGGGGGGACAAUAUAUAAUUACCAGGGUCCUUGCAGGAGGGCGGUGGGGGUCGGAGGAGGAGGUGCAGCGAGGGGAGCGGAGUGGCUUUGAAGAUGGGGGAGGUGCCAGGAGCCAAGAAACACAGUGGCUGCUACAGCUGGGAGAAGGAAGGAGAACGGAUUCUGCCCUGGGGCCUCCGGAAGGAACACAGCCCGGCCAGCACCUUGGUUUAGCCCUGUGAGCCUGAGUUUGGACGUCUGCCGCCAGCAGCCGUGGGAAACUAACACAAUUAUUGUUGCCAUUAUUAUUUUUAGUGUUCCGCCAUUAUUAUUUUUAGUGUCUCCUCCUUCCCUUUCUUUUAUGUCUGCCUUCAAGAUACAAUGUCUUGAGCUUAAACCAAUCUCUCCCCAUUUCCUUCUAGAUCUCCCCCCAUUUCCUUCUAGAUCUCCCCCUGUUUCCUUCUAGAUCUCCCCGUUUCCUUCCAGAUCUCCCCGUUUCCUUCUAGAUCUCCCCCUGUUUCCUUCCAGAUCUCCCCCUGUUUCCUUCUAGAUCUCCCCCUGUUUCCUUCCAGAUCUCUCCCUGUUUCCUUCUAGGCAGGGCUGGCAGGAGGUCAGCCGUCUUUCAGUGUAGAUUUCAGCCCCACUCCAGGCUCCUUCUAAAUCUUAGGAGAUUUAGGAGAUGAGUUUGGGGUACAAAAGUCUCCAUUAAAAAAAAAUAAACAGCAUCCCAGAAGAUUCUUACACAUAAAGUUUAAGAACCACCAGUUUAGAUGCAAAAUGUAUUCCAUAUUUAAUUUUUACUUGUCCUUACUAAAUAUUUGCAGCAAAAUCCACAAGUUCCAGCAGAGGGGGAUGUUACUGCAUGAAAGGGGGGAAAAAAAUAAAAACCAAAAAACCUUUGGCAGGAAAGUGGGAUUUGACAAGCUCCGUGUUCCAGAGCAGGAAAACGAAGCCGCUUCCUUGCAGAAGGUGUCUGCCCGGGAAAGUGCCUCUCCGCCGCCCAGCCUCCUAGGGAGCUCAGAUGAGUCUUGGUCCCUGGAUGAAGGACUGAAUGGAUGGAAAUUUUAACUACAAGAGGGAAAGAAACUGACGUUUCUUUAGCAGGCUCCUUGUGCAAGCAGCUCGUAUGUUGUAGCCUCCAAUCCUCAACCAUCCCGCAAAAUCCGGAUUAGCGUCUCCGUUUUGAAGAGGAAGCAACUCAGGAUCAGAGGCGCUCGGAAAUCCGCCCAGACCACGCAGGGACUAAGAGCCUGACUCCAGAUCAGCACGUGGGGCUCGCGGACUCUGUAGAAAGCAAAAGCAGCAGUCGUUCUUACCCUCUCUUACCUCAACAAGAGGUUUAUUACUUUCAGCCAAAAGGAUGGGAAUUGGAGGAAAGAAAUACCCCAGGCAUCAGCUGGCGGCGAGGCCCAGCUUCCCCUCAAGGCCGAGGCCAGGAGCUAAGCUCACCAAGACCGCCCUGCUGGGGACCUCGCACCCCCAACCUGACCCUAGAGAUGGCAGUGACUUUCAUCCUUGGGUUGGUUUUCUAGUUUCUGCCCCAGAGCUUUGUGGCAGGCUCUGUGGCAGGCUUUGGACUUCUGACCUCCAGAACUGUAAAAACUGUAAGUCUGUGUUGGUUUAAGCCACAAAGAUUACAAUUGUAUGUUACAGAAGCAAUAGGAAACUGAUACAGUCUCCGAGCAUUUUUUAUUGUACCAUACCCAUCAGGAAAAAAAUUUCCAUUGUACUGGCACACGAUGUACAUUAUAAAGCAAAUGUAAACAGCAAUUGUAAAGGAUAAAAUAAACAGGAUACAACUAAUGUUUCAAAAUGCA